UUUCCGUAGGUGAACCUGCGGAAGGAUCAUUAAAAAAUGUGGUACCGAUUGUUGGUACUAAUUAAUCAUCCUACCCUUUGUGAAUUUGUUUGUACGAACUUUUUUGAAUGGGUCUUUCCCUAAGUUGGAUUGUUAGUAAGAAUACAAAAAGACUUAGGGGAAUGACUUUUUUAAAAGACUUUUUUUUUAAAUUAAAACUUUUUGUAUUCAUUUGUCUAAAAUUUAUUUUUAUAAUAUAAAAACAACUUUUGACAAUGGAUCUCUUGGUUCUCGCAACGAUGAAGAACGCAGCAAAAUGCGAUAAGUAGUGUGAAUUGCAGAAUACGUGAAUCAUCGAAUCUUCGAACGCAUAUUGCACUUUUUUAGUUUACUAAAAAAGUAUGUCUGUUUGAGUAUCAGUAAAAUAUUCUCACAAACAUAUAUUGUUUGUGGUUAUGAGUGUUUUACAACGAUAAACAAGUUGUUUCACUUUAAAUUCUUUUUGUAAGUUUUUACCAAUUCAUAAAUUAAAAUUGGAUAAAAUUUUCCUUUAACGAGGAAUAACCUAAACAAUUUUAAAUUUUUGGUUAAUAAAUUCAUCAAGGAAUCUAAUAUACAUAAAUAACUUGAUCUCAAAUCAGAUAAGAGUACCCGCUGAACUUAAGCAUAUCAAUAAGCGGAGGAAAAGAAACUAACAAGGAUUCCCUUAGUAACGGCGAGUGAAGCGGGAAGAGCUCAAAUUUGAAAUCUUCAAGGUUUGACCUUGACGAAUUGUAGUUUAUAGAAGUGUUUUCUGUUGGAGUUUUGGUAAAAGUUCUUUGGAAUAGGACAUCAUAGAGGGUGAGAAUCCCGUAUUUGACCAUGACUUUCCAGCUGUGUGAUACACUUUCAAAGAGUCGGAUUGUUUGGGAAUGCAGUCCAAAAUGGGUGGUAAAUUUCAUCUAAAGCUAAAUAUUGGCGAGAGACCGAUAGCGAACAAGUACCGUGAGGGAAAGAUGAAAAGAACUUUGAAAAGAGAGUUAAACAGUACGUGAAAUUGUCAAAAGGGAAGCGUUUGACACCAGUGUUGUUUUCUCGAAAAUCAAUUUAAUGAGUUCUUGUUUUUAAGUUAUUGUGACUUUAUCAGCGCAUUUCUUAUUUUACUUGACUCAUUGAAUGCACUUUUCGUUUAACAAGUCAACAUCAAUUUCUUUGGUGGUAAAAAGUUUAAAGGAAGGUGGCUUGGACUUCGGUUCAAGUGUUUAUAGCCUUUUUCUAUGCCAUCGGAGAGAUUGAGGUCUGCAGCGUAGAUCCUUCGGGGUUAGAUACCUUUGUGCUAAGUUAUAGUUUUUUAUAGACAACUUGUUGACUAUAAUUAACCCUGUAAUUUACUCGCUUAGGCUAUUU
rnacentral:misc_RNA from 1 species